ensembl:snoRNA
GGCACUUAUGUGUGUUUUUUUAUUUGUAACAAAGCCUUACAGACAGGUGCAAAUAAUAAAUCCUCUUUUGCAACCCAGAACUCAUUGUUGACUAUGUAUUUUGGGUGCAUGUAAAAAGGAAUAUG